rnacentral:rRNA from 1 species
CAUCCCGGCUUACCAACCCGAUGCAAACUGCGAAUACCGGAGAAUGUUAUCACGGGAGACACACGGCGGGUGCUAACGUCCGUCGUGAAGAGGGAAACAACCCAGACCGCCAGCUAAGGUCCCAAAGUCAUGGUUAAGUGGGAAACGAUGUGGGAAGGCCCAGACAGCCAGGAUGUUGGCUUAGAAGCAGCCAUCAUUUAAAGAAAGCGUAAUAGCUCACUGGUCGAGUCGGCCUGCGCGGAAGAUGUAACGGGGCUAAACCAUGCACCGAAGCUGCGGCAGCGACGCUGAUGCGUUGUUGGGUAGGGGAGCGUUCUGUAAGCCUGUGAAGGUGGCCUGUGAGGGUUGCUGGAGGUAUCAGAAGUGCGAAUGCUGACAUAAGUAACGAUAAAGCGGGUGAAAAGCCCGCUCGCCGGAAGACCAAGGGUUCCUGUCCAACGUUAAUCGGGGCAGGGUGAGUCGACCCCUAAGGCGAGGCCGAAAGGCGUAGUCGAUGGGAAACGGGUUAAUAUUCCCGUACUUGGUGUUACUGCGAAGGGGGGACGGAGAAGGCUAUGUUGGCCGGGCGACGGUUGUCCCGGUUUAAGCGUGUAGGUGUGUGUUCCAGGUAAAUCCGGUUCACUUUAACACUGAGGCGUGA